AUACAGCGUUUGCAGUGACAAGGAAGAAACCCAGGAUUGCUGAGAGGUGGCUUCGUAUAUAUAGAUGUGUGUCGUUCCCACUGAACUCUGUGGGAAUCACUUUUGAAGAGACAUGCAUAUUAUUCUGCUGACUCUUAGAGGACAGGAAGGUCAUGUGCAAAUGAAAUUGAAAAUAUUUCAAACCCAGUUCAAAGAUUCAUGGGUCAAGGGUUCAAUGGUUUUGAUGCUGUAGUUGCCAGGAUACAUGAAGAAAUUAAAAGCAAGGUGCUGGUUUCGGUGUACGGAGCCCUACACAACUUGGGACAAGGUUACUUGAAAGGUCAUCUUACCCCUUACAUAUCCUGUUGAUCACUGCGCUCUGCAGACCAAGACCAGAAGGUGCCGGAAAUAUCUGCAAGAUUUUUAGCAGAUGCCGUUAGAACAAGAUCUUCAAUGAUUUUUUCUGGACUGGAAAGUCAUCUAUCAACAUCAGAGUGAUGGAAGUGAUCCCAUCAGGGAGAAUAUAUGUGCCCUUAAAAUUUACAAUUCAUGAGGAUUAUCGCUAUCCCACUGGACCAUACCUGAAUCCUCUCCUGUCUGGUCGAGUCCCCAUAACAAUUUUGGAAGUUGGCACAUCCCCAUUUCUCCUGAGCAACAAACCGGAGCAGAGAUAUGGAGGGUCCUCAGGUUUUAGCUUUCCUCAACUUUGGUCUGAAAUUCAUUUGCCACCACUGAUGCAACCAUGCUCAUUUCUUUACAAUCCCGGAACAAGAUCACCCCUUCAUUGAAUGGGAACAUGAUCAUCACAGGAAUGGAACAGAACGGUACCCGAAUUGCACAAAAUAGAUUCACAGGUGAUGAUUGUAUGGGUUUUGGUGCCAGAAAUGUUGAGCCUCUCCAUCCAGAUAAACAAGAGCAGACUGGAUCAUCACAUCUGUCACUCAUACCUACACCUGCCUGCUCAAAGCACCUCUCAGGUUUCCCUCCAACUCUCUUCGAUAUGGAGUUUUUUGCUUCCUUUCUUUCAAGCCAACCUGAAGGCAUUCUGACCAAAAUUCAAGGGAUCCCAAAUUCACUGCUCAUUCUUUGAUGUAUCUCUGAAUAUUCCUCAGGUCUGCAAGAUUUAUGAUGCUUCCAUUUUCCUGAGAAGCUGUCAUUCUCUGUGUACUUAUGCCUUGUCUCAUUUUACUCCUCAUUCAUCUGUCAUUUCACUCUUCUGCACAAAAUGUAUUGUUCACCUUUCUGAAGCUGCUCAACAUGGAAAGGCUUCCCUGCACUCCUCUUUCCCCUACAAUAAACCUCAUCUAUCUGCAUCAAAACGA